rnacentral:rRNA from 1 species
GAUGAACGCUAGCUACAGGCUUAACACAUGCAAGUCGCGGGACCGGCGCACGGGUGAGUAACGCGUAUCCAACCUGCCCUUCACCACGGGAUAACCCGGCGAACGUCGGACUAAUACCUUAUGGUGAAGGAUGGGGUUGCUUCCGAUUAGCUUGACGGCGGGGUAACGGCCCCCCGUGGCUACGAUCGGGAGGGGUUCUGAGAGGAAGGUCCCCCACACUGGAACUGAGACACGGUCCAGACUCCUACGGGAGGCAGCAGUGAGGAAGAUUGGUCAAUGGGCGUAAGCCUGAACCAGCCAAGUAGCGUGCAGGACGACGGCCUAUGGGUUGUAAACUGCUUUUAUGCGGGGAUAGGUACCGCAGAAGAAGCACCGGCUAACUCCGUGCCAGCAGCCGCGGUAAUUC